AGUUUGAUCCUGGCUCAGAUUGAACGCUGGCGGCAUGCCUUACACAUGCAAGUCGAACGGUAACAGGUCUUCGGAUGCUGACGAGUGGCGAACGGGUGAGUAAUACAUCGGAACGUGCCCGAUCGUGGGGGAUAACGGAGCGAAAGCUUUGCUAAUACCGCAUACGAUCUACGGAUGAAAGCAGGGGACCGCAAGGCCUUGCGCGGACGGAGCGGCCGAUGGCAGAUUAGGUAGUUGGUGGGAUAAAAGCUUACCAAGCCGACGAUCUGUAGCUGGUCUGAGAGGACGACCAGCCACACUGGGACUGAGACACGGUCCAGACUCCUACGGGAGGCAGCAGUGGGGAAUAUUGGACAAUGGGCGCAAGCCUGAUCCAGCCAUACCGCGUGGGUGAAGAAAGCCUUCGGGUUGUAAAGCCCUUUUGUUGGGAAAGAAAUCCAUCUGGUUAAUACCCGGGUGGGAUGACGGUACCCAAAGAAUAAGCACCGGCUAACUUCGUGCCAGCAGCCGCGGUAA
rnacentral:rRNA from 1 species